AUUGAACGCUGGCGGCAGGCCUAACACAUGCAAGUCGAACGGUAACAGGAAGCAGCUUGCUGCUUCGCGGGCGAGAGGCGGACGUGUGAGCUAGGUCUGUGAAGCGGCGUGAUGGAGGGGGACAACUACUGGAAGCUGUAGCCAAUACCGCACAGUGGCGGAAGGCGAAAGAGGGGGAGCCUCCGGGCUCUCGCCAGAGGCUGGGUCCAGAUGGGAUUAGCGUGUUGGUGGGGUAAAGGCUCACCAAGGCGACGAUCCGUAGCUGGUCUGAGAGGAUGACCAGCCACACUGGAACUGAGACACGGUCCAGACUCCUACGGGAGGCAGCAGUGGGGAAUAUUGGACAAUGGGCGCAAGCCUGAUGCAGCCAUGCCGCGUGUAUGAAGAAGGCCUUCGGGUUGUAAAGUACUUUAAGCGGGGAGGAAGGGAAUUAAGUUAAUACCUUGCCUCAUUGACGUUACCCGCAGAAGAAGCACCGGCUAACUCCGUG
rnacentral:rRNA from 1 species